rnacentral:snRNA from 1 species
GGUUGUGAGGGAGAUCUGGCUGCAGCAGCUUUCACCUCACUGGUCGCCUGAAUUGGUCACUGCCUGGCUGGGCAUGUGUCCCCUUCCUCCUUCACUGCUCCAUGCAUAGCCCUUCUGAACCUUCACUUUGGGUGUGUCAAAGGGAUGUCCUUCCAUAUAGAGGGGAAUUGUUCUUUGGUUAAGAGUAUUAUGAGUAGCUGCUUGCCUCAUUAGAAUCUCUGUACUAGCUCUCAAGAGCAGUAUAAAAUUAUUACAAAUUGGUUAAUCAUAAUUUAAAGAAUUUUGACUUUGAAAAUAACUUUCAGCU